GAUGAACGCUGGCGGCGUGCCUAAUACAUGCAAGUCGAGCGAACAGACGAGGAGCUUGCUCCUCUGACGUUAGCGGCGGACGGGUGAGUAACACGUGGAUAACCUACCUAUAAGACUGGGAUAACUUCGGGAAACCGGAGCUAAUACCGGAUAAUAUAUUGAACCGCAUGGUUCAAUAGUGAAAGACGGUUUUGCUGUCACUUAUAGAUGGAUCCGCGCCGCAUUAGCUAGUUGGUAAGGUAACGGCUUACCAAGGCAACGAUGCGUAGCCGACCUGAGAGGGUGAUCGGCCACACUGGAACUGAGACACGGUCCAGACUCCUACGGGAGGCAGCAGUAGGGAAUCUUCCGCAAUGGGCGAAAGCCUGACGGAGCAACGCCGCGUGAGUGAUGAAGGUCUUCGGAUCGUAAAACUCUGUUAUUAGGGAAGAACAAAUGUGUAAGUAACGAUGCACGUCUUGACGGUACCUAAUCAGAAAGCCACGGCUAACCACGU
rnacentral:rRNA from 1 species